UACGUAGGGGACCGAGCGUUGUCCGGAUUCAUUGGGCGUAAAGAGCUCGUAGGCGGCUGCUCAAGUCGAAUGUGAAAACUCGAGGCUCAACCUCGAGCCUGCAUUCGAUACUGGGGCGGCUAGAGUCUGGUAGGGGGGAUCUGGAAUUCCUGGUGUAGCGGUGGAAUGCGCAGAUAUCAGGAGGAACACCGGUGGCGAAGGCGGGAUCCUGGGCCAGUACUGACGCUGAGG
rnacentral:rRNA from 1 species